rnacentral:rRNA from 1 species
GAUGAACGCUGGCGGCGUGCCUAAUACAUGCAAGUCGAGCGAACGGACGAGAAGCUUGCUUCUCUGAUGUUAGCGGCGGACGGGUGAGUAACACGUGGAAAACCUACCUAUAAGACUGGGAUAACUUCGGGAAACCGGAGCUAAUACCGGAUGAUAUUUUGAACCGCAUGGUUCAAAAGUGAAAGACGGUCUUGCUGUCACUUAUAGAUGGAUCCGCGCUGCAUUAGCUAGUUGGUAAGGUAACGGCUUACCAAGGCAACGAUGCAUAGCCGACCUGAGAGGGUGAUCGGCCACACUGGAACUGAGACACGGACCAGACUCCUACGGGAGGCAGCAGUAGGGAAUCUUCCGCAAUGGGCGAAAGCCUGACGGAGCAACGCCGCGUGAGUGAUGAAGGUCUUCGGAUCGUAAAACUCUGUUAUUAGGGAAGAACAUAUGUGUAAGUAACUGUGCACAUCUUGACGGUACCUAAUCAGAAAGCCACGGCUAACUACGUG